rnacentral:rRNA from 1 species
UACGGAGGGGCUAGCGUUGUUCGGAAUACUGGGCGUAAAGCGCACGUAGGCGGCUUUGUAAGUUAGAGGUGAAAGCCCGGGGCUCAACCCCGGAAUUGCCUUUAAGACUGCAUCGCUUGAAUCCAGGAGAGGUGAGUGGAAUUCCGAGUGUAGAGGUGAAAUUCGUAGAUAUUCGGAAGAACACCAGUGGCGAAGGCGGCUCACUGGACUGGUAUUGACGCUGAGGUGCGAAAGCGUGGGGAGCAAACAGG